ensembl:lncRNA
AGGGCACCAUUAACUUUUAUAUAUGUAGUGUUUCAUGUCCACUGUAAAAGUGUUACUGCAUGAAUGUAAAUAUAUUACCACCCCUGCCUACACAUGCAGUGAAACCAUAUCAAUAUUGCUAUUAUGCCAAUACCAUUAGUCACUGGGAUUUUAAGUCUCUUGGGAUUGGGAUCAAAAGUCUAAUGGAAAGUGAAAGAUAAAGUUUUUUUGCUUUUUUGUUUUUGCUUUGAGCGGCGCAGCGGUUCGGCUUGUUCUGGAUUCGAUUGUAGUGGGAAAUGAAGCUCGUCCCGGUGUUUGUGAUCCUCGCUCACAUUUCCCAGCAUGCCUCAGGGGUGGAGGUGGAGGUCUGUGAGGGGGAGGACUCUGCGCUACUGCCCUGUCAGAACAUCAGUCCAGAAGGAAGCCCUGCAGACUGGAGACCUGAGCCUCACUCUGAGAAACCCUACAGUCUCUGACAGUGGAACCUACAUCUGCACCACCCGCAGCUUCGGAGAGGACAGGAACACAACUGAAGUACAGUUGAAGGUCAAAGGACCUUCUCCAGUCUGGGUCAAAGUUGUCCCAGCUGUCCUGAUUCCCCUGGUUCUCUUGGCUGCUGCUGUUGCUGUCUUCAUGAGCCUUGUAUAUAAAAGGAUGAAGAAAACUGCAGAUUUUUGGCACGCCUUUCCUGAAACAGUCUUCCCACAGAUCUCUAUCCCCUCCCAGUCUUCCGUGCAAUAGUUUGCCAGCUCAAAGCAGUGGACGUGACAGAGGGUGCAGAAAGUGUCC